UCAAGUAAUUAAGUGCAUGUGGUGGAUGCCUUGGCAGUCAGAGGCGAUGAAAGACGUGAUAGCCUGCGAAAAGCUCCGGGGAGGCGGCAAAUAUCCUUUGAUCCGGAGAUGUCUGAAUGGGGGAACCCACCUACUUUAAGGUAGGUAUUGCAACAUGAAUACAUAGUGUUGCAAGGCGAACGAGGGGAAGUGAAACAUCUCAGUACCCUUAGGAAAAGAAAUCAAUUGAGAUUCCCUCAGUAGCGGCGAGCGAACGGGGAUCAGCCCAUUAAGUUAUGUGUGUUUUAGUGGAACGCUCUGGGAAGUGCGAACGUAGAGGGUGAUAUUCCCGUACACGAAAGGGCACACAUAAUGAUGACGAGUAGGGCGAGGCACGUGAAACCUUGUCUGAAUAUGGGGGGACCAUCCUCCAAGGCUAAAUACUCCUGACUGACCGAUAGUGAACCAGUACCGUGAGGGAAAGGCGAAAAGAACCCCUGUGAGGGGAGUGAAAUAGAUCCUGAAACCGCAUGCAUACAAGCAGUGGGAGCACCUUCGUGGUGUGACUGCGUACCUUUUGUAUAAUGGGUCAGCGACUUAUAUUCAGUAGCAAGGUUAACCGUAUAGGGGAGCCGUAGAGAAAUCGAGUCUUAAUAGGGCGUUUAGUUGCUGGGUAUAGACCCGAAACCAGGCGAUCUAUCCAUGAGCAGGUUGAAGGUUGGGUAACACUAACUGGAGGACCGAACCCACUGUCGUUGAAAAGCCAGGGGAUGACUUGUGGAUAGGGGUGAAAGGCUAAUCAAGCCUGGUGAUAGCUGGUUCUCCCCGAAAGCUAUUUAGGUAGCGCCUCGGACGAAUACCAUAGGGGGUAGAGCACUGUUUCGGCUAGGGGGUCAUCCCGACUUACCAAACCGAUGCAAACUCCGAAUACCUAUGAGUACUAUCCGGGAGACAGACUGCGGGUGCUAACGUCCGUAGUCAAGAGGAAAACAAUCCAGACCGCCAGCUAAGGCCCCAAAAUCAUAGUUAAGUGGGAAACGAUGUGGGAAGGCAUAGACAGCUAGGAGGUUGGCUUAGAAGCAGCCACCCUUUAAAGAAAGCGUAAUAGCUCACUAGUCGAGUCGGCCUGCGCGGAAGAUGUAACGGGGCUAAAACUAUGUGCCGAAGCUGCGGAUUUGACAUUAGUCAAGUGGUAGGGGAGCGUUCUGUAAGCCGAUGAAGGUGUAUUGAGAAGUAUGCUGGAGGUAUCAGAAGUGCGAAUGCUGACGUGAGUAACGACAAAACGGGUGAAAAACCCGUUCGCCGAAAGACCAAGGGUUCCAGUCCAACGUUAAUCGGGGCUGGGUGAGUCGACCCCUAAGGCGAGGCCGAAAGGCGUAGUCGAUGGGAAAAUGGUUAAUAUUCCAUUACUUCUGUGUAAUGCGAUGAGAGGACGGAGAAGGCUAAAUCAGCCUGGCGUUGGUUGUCCAGGUGAAAGGAUGUAGGCAUGUAUCUUAGGCAAAUCCGGGGUACUCUAUGCUGAGAUCUGAUAGCAAGCUGUACUUGUACAGCGAAGUGGUUGAUGCCAUGCUUCCAGGAAAAGUCUCUAAGCUUCAGUUACACAGGAAUCGUACCCGAAACCGACACAGGUGGUCAGGUCGAGUAGACCAAGGCGCUUGAGAGAACUCUGCUGAAGGAACUAGGCAAAAUGGUACCGUAACUUCGGGAGAAGGUACGCUGUUGUUGGUGAUGGAACUCGCUUCCUGAGCUGACGACAGCCGCAGAAACCAGGCCGCUGCAACUGUUUAUUAAAAACAUAGCACUCUGCAAACACGAAAGUGGACGUAUAGGGUGUGAUGCCUGCCCGGUGCUGGAAGGUUAAUUGAUGGGGUUAGCGUAAGCGAAGCUCUUGAUCGAAGCCCCAGUAAACGGCGGCCGUAACUAUAACGGUCCUAAGGUAGCGAAAUUCCUUGUCGGGUAAGUUCCG
rnacentral:rRNA from 1 species